rnacentral:snRNA from 1 species
AUACUUACCUGGCAGGGGGGACACCAUGAUCAGGCAGGUGGUUUUCCCAUGGUGAAGUUCCUCCAUUGCACUUGGGAGGUGCUGACCCCUGCGAUUUCCCCUGCAUGUGGGAAACUCGACUGCAUCAUUUGUGGUAGUGGGGACUGCGUUUGAGCUCUCCCCU